rnacentral:rRNA from 1 species
UACGUAGGCAGCGAGCGUUGUUCGGAGUUACUGGGCGUAAAGAGUGCGUAGGCGGUUUUUCUAAGUUUGGUGUGAAAUCUCCCGGCUUAACUGGGAGGGUGCGCCGAAGACUGGAAGGCUUGAGUAUGGGAGAGGUAAGCGGAAUUCCUGGUGUAGCGGUGAAAAUGCGUAGAUAUCAGGAGGAACACCUGCGGUGUAGACGGCUUACUGGACCAUCACUGACGCUGAGGCACGAAAGCGUGGGUAGCAAACAGG